CCGCCGCGCUGCCUUGGAAUACGAUAAGGCGGUGCAAUGUUGUGCCGCGCUCUGUUCACAAUAAUCGCCGUAUCAUGUACGUUCCCACGUAUAAAACACGUACACGCUCAGGGCACACAGCGUAUAGUUCAGAUAAAAGGUUUCAAUUAAUAUUGUCAAUUAACAAUUGAGUUUAAACUAAUAAUAUCAACGAAUGGUUAAAACAUUUUAAAUGCGUUUGAAUUAAAGUUUUUUUGGAAUAGCAAUUCGUGGACAGUGUUUAGGCAAUAAAUUUGAUAUGUGUACUUAUAUUGAGUGGUUUACAAAAGGAAGAUCUGGAUGUGAACAUGUUGAAGAAACUUGAACGUCAUGGCUUGAAUAUUAACGAUAUGAACAAUGAGAAUCUGAGAGAUGAUUGUUUAAACAGCGCAAAAACAACUGUUAAAGAUGAAUAUUCAAAUACGGAAGCUACAACAAAAUCAAUUACAGAAAUGAUGUUCACGAGCCGGCAAAGAGAUCAAUCUAAUAACAAAGAAACAAAUAAAACUGAUUUAAAAUCGUUUAUAAAAUAUUUCAUGGAACUACAAAACUCGAAUGAUAAAUCAAAAA